GAAACUAUGGACUAGGGUAUUGUUUAUUAAGAUUUAUGUUAAGCCCAAUGUAAAGAUUAGGCAACAAAAGAUAAGAUAACCGCCAGGUGUCCAGGAUGCUGCUUGUGAAAGAUAAGAUAACCGCCAGGUGUCCAGGAUGCCGCUUGUGCAUAUGAAUGAAGGGUCAACACCUCCACUACUUCAUGAACACGAAAGUAAAAAAAGUAUAAAAAGGGACUGUUUGAACUGCUCAGUACGGCAGUUGGCGAAGCGCAGACUCCCCUGCCGUCCAGCGCUGUCUUUGCUCGUAUUCUACUUGCUGUAAUUAAUAAAAAUUUUAAUUGGAUUAUGAUCUAUUGUGGUCUCAAUUUAUAACAAUUCUGGUGCCGUGACUCGGAUAAGGAACGGUGGGCUUUGGUCCUCCGGGGAGGCGCCCCGUGACAUUUCGCGGCCCCGCGACCAACAGCUUACUCCAACCUUACCGACGAACCUAAAUUCUAGAAUAAUGAGCAAAGGAGAAACCGGUAAAAUCCCAUAAAAUUCUGUGCACGGGAGUCCGGACGAAGACGCAGGACGCGUGUAAGGUAUGCCAGGAUAAAUGGUGGACACACUGUGAAUGUAGAUACCCUCCAAUAGGAGUUUGCACACAGUGUUGGAAAAAUCCAAAGAACUCUCACUGAGUGGAGACUAAAACAAUUAGAGUCUAAACAAGAAAUUAUUCGGGAAUCCCAAGAGUGGUGGGAAAUUUUUGCUAAAGGAAUAAACCCUCAAUAUUAUUGUUACCACUCCACCGAACCAGUCCCCUUUGUAGCUGAAAUUUUAGUUAUAAAGUGCAGGAGGGAAGUACUAACUGUGUCUUGCUUGGCCCCAUUAAUUAAAGCUGCUAAGUGGGAAGCCUAUGUAAACAGGCAGAAAGCCCGAAACAGCUAUUCUCCUGAAGAAUUCCCUUGCUGCCGAGAAGAUGGUACACCCCGUGGCUCGAAGCAACCGAGUCGACGGGCGAGGCAGAGGAGAAACAAACCGUGGAGAAAAGAGCCAGAAAAAUGGGAUGCAAAAGCAGCCAUGGCCGAACUUCCCCAGGACUGUCCAGGACACCAUGUCUGAACUCCGGAAAAGGUUAGAUCAACGUAAGAAAGAUCGUGAGGCGGGCAGGUCAUGGUAUGAAAACUGGUUUAAUAUCUCACCUUGGCUAACCACUUUGUUGUCUGCUUUAGCAGGACCACUUAUUAUGUUGGUUCUGGGACUUAUAUUUGGGCCUUGUAUAUUACGCUACACUUUAUUAGAGAACGGUUUGACAUAGCUAAAUUGCUUAUUUUAACUACGAGGUCUAGGGCAAAAUAUAAGAGUGUAUCUAUUAAUGAGGAUGAAGAUUGUUGCGAAUGCGUUAUGCCACGUGAAAACUAUGCCUAUUGUAAUUGUGAGGUAUUACCUUGUGAGUGUUAUGAUAAAUGUUGGGAUUGUGGAAAAAGGUUUGUUCGCAGUGCCGAGAAUGAAAGCAGCGUCUAAUAAACAAUAAUAGGAUAAAAAGAAAAAGGGGGGAUUGUAAGAAACUAUGGACUAGGGUAUUGUUUAUUAAGAUUUAUGUUAAGCCCAAUGUAAAGAUUAGGCAACAAAAGAUAAGAUAACCGCCAGAUGUCCAGGAACCGACAGAAAAAGGACAAACUACCCCAUAUAAGGACAUAUGAGUGAGGGGUCAACUAUGGGACAAAGGAGGAAGACUUCUUACUUCGGCCUCAACGACCACCAGGAGGCAGAAAACGACCCCCUAACAACAACUGAAGCAUGCGCAGAGUACCUCCACUACUUCAUGAACACGGAAGUAAAGAUGUAUAAAAAGGGACUGUUUGAACUGCUCAGUACGGCAGUUGGUGGAGCGCAGACUCCCCUGCCGUCCAGCGCUGUUUUUGCUCAUAUUCUACUUGCUAUAAUUAAUAAAAUUUUAAUUGGAUUAUGAUCCGUUGUGGUCUCAAUUUAUAACAAUUUUCUGGUGCCGUGACUCGGAUAAGGAAGGGUGGGCUUUGGUCCUCCGGGGAGGCGCCCCGUGACAUUUCGCGGCCCCGCGACCAACAGCUUACUCCAACCUUACCGACGAACCUAAAUUCUAGGAUAUUGAGCAAAAAAGGACCGGUAAAAUCCCAUAAAAUUCUGUGCACGGGAGUCCGGACGAAGACGCAGGACGCAAACAGCUGUCCGGACUGCUGAGCGUGGAUGGACUCAUGCCAGUCGCAUUAAAGGCCCAGUGACGAGACCCCACUGGAAAGUAAUCAGUACUCCAGUUAAAGCUGCAAAGUGGGAAGCCUAUGUAAACAGGCAGAAAGCCCGAAACAGCUGUUCUCCUGAAGAAUCCCCUUGCUGCCGAGAAGAUGGUACACCCCGUGGCUCGAAGCAACCGAGUCGACGGGCAAGGCAGAGGAGGAACAAACUGUGGAGAAAAGAACCAGAACAAUGGGACACAAAAGCAACAAUGGCCGAACUUCCCCAGGACUGGUAAAAAUAUACUUAAAUUGGCAAAAUUGA